rnacentral:tRNA from 1 species
UGCCAUGUAGUCUAGUGGUUAGGACGUCGAACAAAUGCUUUGAAGACCCAGGUUCGAUUCCUGGUGUGGCAG